UACAGAGGGUGCAAGCGUUAAUCGGAAUGACUGGGCGUAAAGGGUGCGUAGGUGGCUAUUUAAGUUAGAUGUGAAAUCCCCGGGCUUAACCUGGGAACUGCAUUUAAUACUGGAUGGCUAGAGUGUGGGAGAGGUAAGUGGAAUUUCCGGUGUAGCGGUGAAAUGCGUAGAUAUCGGAAGGAACACCAGUGGCGAAGGCGGCUUACUGGCCUAACACUGACACUGAGGCACGAAAGCGUGGGGAGCAAACAGG
rnacentral:rRNA from 1 species